UUGGUCAUGGUAUGAAAUUGAUUGAUUCAUUUGGAUUCAUAGCCUUAGAUGUAGACUCCCUGAGAGUGGUAAUGGAUGUGUACAAUGAUACUCUACCCUAUUGGAAGGAUUCAUGAGUUUUACUUCCCAGGAGGGACGAGAAUAAGUUAUUCCUAAAGUUAAACAUGUAACUCAGACUGUAUGUUGGUAAGGGCAUGAGCUAAGAUUAUGGAAGAUAAGACAGGAUGAUUGAGAUGAAUGAUUUUGGAUGCGAAGUGAUGUCAUCUCUAGAUGUG
rnacentral:lncRNA from 1 species